AAAAGAAACAAUAUUAAAUAAUGAUGGCGUAUUACCAACAACUGGUCGGAUAAAUGACAUAGACUAAUUCUAGGUAGACUUACCUGUAAAGUUCGGGGGUUUAAAUUCUAGAAUCGUUUUUAUUAGAAGGGUUUUACCUAAAUACCACUUCCGUUACAAAUAUGGCUAUAUGGACAUAAGCUGAAUUCUAAUUAAUUAAUCUGUCCACUAACACGCUAAAUUAAGCUCCAUAAUUAUUUAAAUCUAAUACAAAUGGUAACCUUUAUCCGAGCUAUCCACAUCUGAAUUAGUAGUAGACUCACUGUUGCCUCCUUUCAUGAUCUUCAAUUCUUCUACACGGCUGAUGCUACUGCUUGGACUUUCCUUCUUUCUCUUUUCCUUAUUAUUAUUUAUCCUCCAUUUCCUUUUCCUCACCAAAUGCUUACCCAACAAAAUCCCCAAACCCACAAAAAUUGCCAUUGUGCACCCUCCUCCUAUAGCCACCACUGACACCAACAACCAUACUGCUCCCCUCCCAUGUGGUAAAGUUGUCCACAUGGCAGCAAGGUAUGCGGCCGCCAUAAAUGACGUGGACACCCACAUGAUCUUAUGUGUCACAGCCAAUAAUUUCAUCAUGGAUUUUCGCCUAAAGGGGAUAAUGCUGACUAGAAGAAUAACAAUGCCGAGGGAUGAAAAUAAUGCUACAACGUUACAAACCACAAACACCUUAAAAGAAGUAUGCUUCCCCGUUAUAAUUUUCCCUGUAGUUUGGUUAAACCCUCCAGGAGGGUUGAUGCCGGCUGCAAAUGUAACAGUGGCAAUUAAAACUGCCACAACAGUGAUUGUAUUACGUGCAUUACGUAGACCUUCGCUUUGGACCUCUCGCUGCUUUUCCCUGGAGCGUCGCUGAUUACGGCGGUGAUGAUGAUUUGGAGAAUCCAACACUUUCUUUGGAGAUGAAGAUGGAACAUUGGGGUUAUUAACACUUUCUGGUGCUAUAAUUUGUUUAAGUUCAGUGGAAUAACUUGGUGGCAAUUGGUCUCCUCUCUUACCUCCUGCAUCUUGUAUUGCAGGCAAAAUCUGGAGAGCACCAGAAUUGCUCACAUCAGACUCGACUACGUCCAAGGCAGUCUGUCCCUUGCGAUUUAUAGCAUUCACUUCAGCAUUAAGCUUCAGCAGGUAGAUGACCAUAGUGCCAAGCUUUCCAGCAGUUGCGAGGUGCAAAGCUGUAUUGCCAUCGUUGUCCGGCUUAUUAAUAAGCUUGGUGGUGUUGAGUGUCUCCAUGAGGUACUUCACUGCAUCAAACUGAUUGCUUUUCACUCCGAGAUGGAGAACUGUUUCUCCAUUUUUGGUGAUCAUCUCUGCAGAUUCAAGACUCACAGAGAGUAUCUCGUCGAUGAUGCUCACUCGUCCUUUCAUGGCAGCCCAAUGGAGUGGCGUUCGGCCAUCGUUGUCUUGCAAAGAAGAGAGGUCGGUGUCGAAUCUUAGUAGCUCCCUGGUGGUCUCAAGAUGGCCUUUGCUGCAAGCUUGGUGUAAAGGAGUGCAUCCAUUAACGUCCUUCUUCCAUGCAAAAUCUGGGCGUAUUUUUAAGAUUUCCUUCACAAUUUCUGUAUGUCCUCCCAAAGCUGCAACGUGAAGAGAAGUAGUAAGCCCAUCGACCUCCAACAUGAGUAGAUGUUGAAAAUUCAAGAGACAAUUCACCACAUCAAGCUUCCCUCUUUCGCAGGCCGCAAAGAGAGCAGUCUCGUUGUCUUGGUUCACCUUAUAAACUACCCAAGGAUCGCUCUCUACCAAUAGCAUCACCAUAUCCGUUCUCCCUUCUCUGCAUGCCUCAAACAAUGGGGUCUCCGAUUUCUCGUUCACCUCCGACACCAUCUCUGGCUUCAGCUUUAGAAUCUCCUUCGCCAAUUCGAGAGGCCCAAAACGUGCUGCUAAGUGUAGAAUGGUGUUUGAGGACCAUGUAGUGAUUGUUUUGUCAAUGAUGUUUUCAUUUUCUCGAAUUAGGCUAAGAAAGGUCGGUAUGUCCCCUCUCAAGAUGGUCUCUUGUAGCCGUCGGUCCAUCUCUGUAGUUAGAGGGAGAGCUCAGAGAAGUUGAUAAUGGAGGAAACGAUUUUCGCUUGGAGGGAAGCAGAAAGAGACUAAAUAAUGAUAUGAAGGAAGAGCCUUUUUUUUU
rnacentral:misc_RNA from 1 species